GAUCUAAAAUACUGUGUGAAAUAAUUAUCAUGAAGGUGGUUUUCCCAGGGCGAGGCCUAUCCAGAUGUGUUGACACCUGCAACUUCCCCAAAUGGGGAAAACUCGGCUGGAUAAAAUUUGUGGUAGUGGAGGACUGUGUUCAUACUUUCCCUUG
ensembl:snRNA U1 U1 spliceosomal RNA